CAGUAGCCGCGGUAAAACGUAGGUCCCGAGCGUUGUCCGGAUUUAUUGGGCGUAAAGCGAGCGCAGGCGGUUAGAUAAGUCUGAAGUUAAAGGCUGUGGCUUAACCAUAGUACGCUUUGGAAACUGUUUAACUUGAGUGCAGAAGGGGAGAGUGGAAUUCCACGUGUAGCGGUGAAAUGCGUAGAGAUGUGGAGGAACACCAGUGGCGAAGGCGACUCUCUGGUCUGUAACUGACGCUGAGGAGCGAAAGCGUGGGGAGCGAACAGGAUUAGAUACCCCGGUAGUCCCUGUCUCUUAUACC
rnacentral:rRNA from 1 species